GCCGGGAUGGCGAAAUUGGUAGACGCGCCAGAUUCAAAAUCUGGUAUAGGUAACUAUGUGUGGGUUCGAGUCCCUCUCCCGGCACAA
rnacentral:tRNA from 1 species